AAGAAGAAGAUCAGAAAUUAAGAAGCUGAGCUGCCACGACAUCGAUCAGCUGUUACUUGUUUUUUUUAAUCUUGUGCAACCAGAGGCGACCCUGUCGGUUCCUGUUUCUUUCUCAGAAACGCGCCGUGAGACUUUUACAGGAUCCUCAAAAUGAAGCAUGUUUGAACCGCACCCAUCUCCAUAUAGUGACCCUCGGCAGACCACCGCAGCCUCACAUGGACGUGAUCAGAGACACUGCAUGGAGUCAACAGAUGCCCAGUUCAGAAACUUCCAGGGAAAACCACAAUCCCCCUCCUGAUCAUUAGUUACAGUCACUUUUCUUUUUGUUUGUUUUUUUAACUUGAGGUCUUUUUGUUGGAUCAGAGCGCCCUAAAGGUUCCUGCUCGCUUGUUUCCUGAGAAAACAAACCAUAAUCCUCAGGGAACCUUCUAGGAACUUUCAGGGAACCUUCAGGGAACUUUCCUUGUCAGGGAAGAAGGUCAUAAACAAAUCUAUGAAAAGAAUGUUACUGUUUGCUGGUUAUCUGAACCAACAAUUUUUUUUAUCAGUAAUUUAGAUGACAUUAACCGAACAUUCCCUGAAGGUUCUGCAAACAGUAAUCCUCAGGGAACCUUCAGGAAACAUUCAGAGAACGUAAACGUAACCUUCAAGGAACCUUCCUUGUCACUGAAGAAGGUUAUAACAAUCCAUAAAAACCAGGUUGCUGUUUGCUGGUUUCCUGAGCAAGCAAACUGUAAUCCUCAGGGAACAAUCAAGUAACCUUUAGGGAACUUUCCUUGUCAGGGAAGAAGGUCACAAAUAAAUCUAUGAAAAGGAUCUUACUAUUUGCUGGUUAUCUGAACCAACCAUUUUUUCUCAGUAAUGUUAUGUUUAGAUAACAUUAACAGAACAUUCCCUGAAGGUUCUGCAAACAGGGAACCUUCAGGAAACAUUCAGGGAACGCAAACAGUAACCUCCAGGGACCUUUCCUUGUCAGUGAAGAAGGUUAUAAAAAUCCAUAGAAACAAGGUUACUCUUUGCUGGUUUCCUGAACAAGCAAACAGUAAUCCUCAGGGAACAUUCAGGGAACAUUCGAGUAAUCUUUAGGGAACUUUAGUUGUCAGGGAAGAAGGUCAUAAGUGAAUCCAUGAAAACGAGGUUACUGUUUGCCGGUUUUCUGAACCAACAAUUUUUCCCCCGGUAAUUUAGAUAACAUUAACAGAACAUUCCCUGAAGGUCCUGCAAACGGUAAUCCUUAGGGAACCUUCAGGAAACAUUCAGGGAACACAAGUAGUAACUUUCAGGGAACCUUCCUUGUUGAAGAACAUUAUAAAAAUGCAUACAAGGUUACUGUUUGCUGGUUUCCUGAACAAACUAACAGUAAUCUUCAGAGAACUUUCAGCGAACAUUCCCUGAAGGUUCGACAAAUGGUAAGCUUCAGGCAACCUUUAGGGAACAUUCCUUGAAGGUUGCUGUUUGCUGUUUGUGUCUAAAGGUUCUCUAAAGAUUACCGUCUGUUGGAUUAUUGGCCUCUAUUAUAUACAUAUACUAUUUUUUUACAGUUUGCAUGACAGUCAUAUGAAGGGUUAUGCACUAGUUGAAACAAAAAAUAAAUACUUUUCUCUCUUUCUCUCUGAAAGUGUAAGAAUAUGACUAGCACAGUGGCCUUACUAAUCUUUAAACAGCGUUGAAAUGCUUUUAUUGGUAGAAAGAAAACAAAAAAGUGCUUUUGAGAAAUUUGGAUGUAACAUUUUUGACAGUACGAAACAGUAAAUAUCCAGGAACGUUCAGGAAACAUUCAGAGUAACAUUUCCUGAAGGUUAUCUGAUUCAUUAGAUAUAACAUAAUUGUUAAUAAUCAAACAAGACUAAUUUCUGUAUUUGCUAAUUAACAUUUAUAUUUGUGUUGCGGUGAAAGUCUGAUUUUGAAAGUCAAGUAAAUCUUAAUCCUAACCAACAAGUUUGUGUUGAUUGUUAAAGAGUGGACAGAAUUUAUUAAAAUUUAACAUGCUGCACCUUUGCUCAGUAGAGUUUUAAGCAUCCCUCCACUAAAAAUGUGUUUUGUUUGUCGUUACUUCACUUGGAUACAGCCUGUGGUUGGAUGUUUGACCUUUGCAGGAUGAUGUAUGUGCAGAGUUUUAUACUCAGUGUUUUCCCAUUUGUCUUCUGAAGAAGGAAAUAUUCCUCUGCAAUGUAUUUACCUGACAUCUGAGUUCAUAUAGGCAGAAAUAGGAUUUUUUGGCAUUACAACAACUUAUAAUUGUUAAAUCUAGUAUCAGUGGAAUCUUUAUAAAUUACCAUUCAAAAGUUUGAAGUCGCUUAGAAAUGUCCUUAUUUUUGAAACAAAAGCAUUUUUUUUCAAUGAAGAUAACAUUAAAUUAAUACGUACAGUCUAGACAUUGUUAAUGUGGUAAAUGACUAUUCUAGCUGGAAUGGCUGAUUUUUAAUGUAAUGUCUACAUAUUAUCUACACAGUAUCUACAUAGGGGCAUAGAGACCACUGUUCUCUCUAAACUGCUGACACCGCGCACAGAAAAUCUGCUGCGCACACAAAAAAAAAUCCAACCUAAAUUGUAAAUAAAAUAAACACGUAACAAUUCAUUCUGUUCUAUUUUUCAGUGUGAGUCAGUGAGUGACGGUGACUGGCUGCUGCAGCCAAUGAUGCGAUUCACAUACGUAUUUACCAUAGACUGUAUAUAAUGGUAUUUACGUAGCUAAUCAACAUCAGGCGUCCUUAUGUGCAGCCAUCGUUGUUCUCAUAGAUAUGAAUGAGUAGAUAGGACACGCCCCUUUGAGCUGCGUGCUACAGCGAGGCUAAGCUAGUGGGGGAAAAGUUUCAGUGCAUUCCGUUGAUGUAGAUGGUGUGAAAAUGGAAACAAGUAUGCCGGCUCACUGUACUGCAUACAGUUACACACUACGUCGUACGAUUGAGACAAGGAAACUUGGAAUGACUUUUCAUAGGUGAUGAUUGGGAUUACAGACAGUUCUUUAGGACUGCUCUCAAAUAAUUGAAAUGUUACUAAACAAGGUUAUACUUAUCAAAUUAAAUAGCUCUGGUCUCCAGUAUAUUGGCGAAUUCGGUUCUUUGUACUUAAUUUAUUAGCAUGAUUUCUUUUAAUAUGUUGUCUACAGACUUAAUUACUUCUCUGUCUACUUUUCUUACUCCAUGUAGGUUUCCCAGAGACUAUGGGUUGAGGAGGAAUUGGAAGUUUGUCGGCUUAGACCUGUUGUCAUUCCAUCAGUGUUAAACUUCCCGGCUCAUCUUGGAAGAGUACGUGCCAGAAAGACCACGACCAAGCAGCCUUGAGAUCUUAGGCAGCGUCUCCCUCAGCAACCACUGGAACACAUCUCCAAAGUUCUGCUGGGCCAGCUCAGCUUCCCCUCAGAAGAAGUGCCGCCACCUGCCAGAUGAAGGAGCCUUUUGAGAGGCAGCUGGCAUCGUGAUUGGACUGUACUUUGGUCUGUUCCAAUCCAGCUUCAGCUCCAGAGACGGCAGGCGGGACGAGUCAACGGAGGCUGGGUGGACGAAGGCAUGCAGCUGAGUACAAUCCAGAAAACAACAGAGGAGGAGUGCAGCAGCCCAGAGCCAGAACAAACAGAGUAGCAUGGUACGUCUCUUAGAAAACAUCAUAGUAUAGCCUUUGCAAUGAAAAAACGCCAUCAUAUACAUUGUAUACUGUACAAAUAAGGCAAAGGAAAGAGACAUACAUUGUAGAAUUGUAGUAAUUGUGGGCUGACUGAUUUACUGAUUAUCAGUAUUUUAUUUUUUACUGAUUUACGGUAAUAAAUACAUUUAAAAAUGGU